CGUCUCCCGACCCCAGAUGAAAACUGAAGAACAGAUCACACAAGCACAGGGCAAAGCGGGGCCUCCAUGAAGUGGCCCGCGUGCUGGGAAGGAACCAGAGAAGGCUUGCAGGAAAACUGGCCUUCCCACAGCGGGGCGUGUGAAACAGAGCAGCUCCCGGG